GUGGGGAAUCUUCCGCAAUGGACGAAAGUCUGACGGAGCAACGCCGCGUGAGUGAUGAAGGUUUUCGGACUGUAAAGCUCUGUUGUUUAGGACGAAAGUGCCUGUUGCAAAUAGUUACAGGUAUUGACGGUACUGAACGAGGAAGCCACGGCUAACUACGUGCCAGCAGCCGCGGUAAUACGUAGGUGGCAAGCGUUGUCCGGAAUUAUUGGGCGUAAAGAGCAUGUAGGCGGGAAUCUAAGUCUGUUGUGAAAAUGCGGGGCUCAACCCCGUAUUGCGAUGGAAACUGGGUUUCUUGAGUGCAGGAGAGGAAAGGGGAAUUCCCAGUGUAGCGGUGAAAUGCGUAGAUAUUGGGAGGAACACCAGUGGCGAAGGCGCCUUUCUGGACUGUGUCUGACGCUGAGAUGCGAAAGCCAGGGUAGCGAACGGGAUUAGAUACCCUUGUAGUCC
rnacentral:rRNA from 1 species